GCUGGGUGUGGUGGCUUGCGCCUGUAAUCCCUGCUACUUGGGAGGCUGAGACACGAGAAUCACUUGAACCCAGGAGUUGGAGGUUGCAGUGAACCAAGAUUGUGCCACUGCACUCCAGCCUGGGUGACAGAGUGAGACUCCGUCUCAA
rnacentral:SRP_RNA from 1 species